AGCUAAGAUCGGGUCCGGCGCUCCAGAACAGAACGAUCCCUGAGGCUCCCUUGCUCGAACUGUGGGACUUACCCUACUAUGGUCCGAGCCUACCCUAUUUCAUUAUACUCAAGUAACGCCCCAGAAAUUCCAGAGAAUCUCACACAAAGAGGUUGAGUCUUGCCGUGGUGCCUUCAGGGGAAUGUCAUCCCGGGCUAGAAGAGCUGCAAAAGGCUGUCAGGCUUCUCAGAACUUUGCUUCUCCAGCAGAAUAAUCCUGCGGAAGACUGAGCAGUUCUUGUGAGUGUAAAACCAUGGCCCAUGCAUUGGUGACGUUCAGGGAUGUGGCUAUAGACUUCUCUCAGAAGGAAUGGGAGUGCCUGGACACUACCCAGAGGAAAUUGUACAGAGAUGUGAUGUUGGAGAAUUAUAAUAACUUGGUCUCACUGGGAUAUUCUGGCUCAAAGCCAGAUGUGAUUACCUUACUGGAGCAAGGGAAAGAGCCCUGCGUGGCGGCGAAGGAUGUGACAGGAAGACAGUGCCCCGGUGAGUUGAGAGUUCAUCAGGCAGAUGGAAGCCCUCAUUGCCAGUCAUGGCC
rnacentral:sRNA from 1 species